UACGUAGGGGGCUAGCGUUGCCCGGAAUCACUGGGCGUAAAGCGCACGUAGGCGGCUUUCUAAGUCAGGGGUGAAAUCCUGGAGCUCAACUCCAGAACUGCCUUUGAUACUGGAGAGCUUGAGUCCGGAAGAGGUGAGUGGAACUCCGAGUGUAGAGGUGAAAUUCGUAGAUAUUCGGAAGAACACCAGUGGCGAAGGCGGCUCACUGGUCCGGUACUGACGCUGAGGUGCGAAAGCGUGGGGAGCAAACAGG
rnacentral:rRNA from 1 species